UGUGAAAACRUAYUGUCUUUAAGUUACAAUAGUUGUACAUGUCAGUUACURAUUAUGCUACUGUAAGCCUCAUAAGAUUCUAAAUAUUAACUACAAUGUCAUCCCAUUUAGGUUACCUGGAAARYUAAUAUUUGGCCUGGUGAAUCAAUGAAACAAACCCACAGCUGCAGCAAAUCCCCUGGAAGAGAGGACUUCCCACGUUGGCCACCAAUCAAGAUCAUGAUAUGUUUGAUAAAGUUGCUUUUACAUUUGGUUCAUGAUAUGGAAUCUGUCUCAUAACACAGGGGGUUAGUAGGGGAGCAGAGAGGAAAGGAGGUCCACCAUCUUAGGAUAGGAGGCUGUCUGAGAAGAUUCAGACAGUCAUUCUGAACGAUUCAAAAGUCAUGAAAAAUACAUGUUGAACAUAAUGGGAAGGUAAACAAUUGAUGAAACAGUUGAUCAGAAAAACAUUUGAUAUUGAUCCUCUUUUCAUUUAAAGCAGCAAACUACUGAUAGUCAAUGGAAGUCAAAUCAAUUAAAUGUACAGUAUACAAUGAACAUGGAUGAAUGUAGAAAAUGUCAUGGCUUGGAUCUAUAAAAGAGAUAUAAUUA